rnacentral:snRNA from 1 species
CCGGGAAGAGCCCAGCUUG